rnacentral:rRNA from 1 species
CGGCAUGCCUUACACAUGCAAGUCGAACGGCAGCACGGGUGCUUGCACCUGGUGGCGAGUGGCGAACGGGUGAGUAAUACAUCGGAACAUGUCCUGUAGUGGGGGAUAGCCCGGCGAAAGCCGGUAUUAAUACCGCAUACGAUCUACGGAUGAAAGCGGGGGACCUUCGGGCCCUCGCGCUAUAGGGUUGGCCGAUGGCUGAUUAGCUAGUUGGUGGGGUAAAGGCCUACCAAGGCGACGAUCCAGUAGCUGGUCUGAGAGGACGACCAGCCACACUGGGGACUGAGACACGGCCCAGACUCCUACGGGAGGCAGCAGUGGGGAAUUUUGGACAAUGGGCGAAAGCCUGAUCCAGCAAUGCCGCGUGUGUGAAGAAGGCCUUCGGGUUGUAAAGCACUUUUGUCCGGAAAGAAAUCCUUGGCUCUAAUACAGCCGGGGGAUGACGGUACCGGAAGAAUAAGCACCGGCUAACUACGUGCCAGCAGCCGCGGUAAUACGUAGGGUGCAACGCGUUAAUCGGAAUUACUGGGCGUAAUCCACCGCUUGUGCGUGCGCAGGCGGUUUGCUAAGACCGAUGUGAAAUCCCCGGGCUCAACCUGGGAACUGCAUUGGUGGUCAACUGGCAGGCUAGAGCUAUGGCAGUAGGGGGGUAGAAUUCCCAACGUGUAGCAGUGAAAUGCGUAGAGAUGUGGAGGAAUACCGAUGGUAUCGAAGGCAGCCCCCUGGGCCAAUACUGACGCUCAUGCACGAAAGCGUGGGGCCAGCAAACAGGAUUAGAUACCCUGGUAGUCCACGCCAUCUAAACGCAUGUCAAUGCUAGUUGUUGGGGAUUCUACCCCCCUYUGCCUUAGUCUAACGUGCCAGUCACUAACGCAGUGCCCAAGUUGACCGCCUGGGGAGUACGGAUCGCAAGAUUAGCAAACUCAAAGGAAUUGACGGGGACCCGCACCAGCGGUGGAUGAUGUGGAUUAAUUCGAUGCAACGCGAAAAACCUUACCUACCCUUGACAUGGUCGGAAUCCUGCUGAGAGGUGGGAGUGCUCGAAAGAGAACCGGCGCACAGGUGCUGCAUGGCUGUCGUCAGCUCGUGUCGUGAGAUGUUGGGUUAAGUCCCGCAACGAGCGCAACCCUUGUCCUUAGUUGCUACGCAAGAGCACUCUAAGGAGACUG